rnacentral:rRNA from 1 species
UACGAAGGGGACUAGCGUUGUCCGGAUUUAUUGGGCGUAAAGAGCUCGUAGGCGGUUUGUCGCGUCGGCCGUGAAAUCUCCACGCUUAACGUGGAGCGUGCGGUCGAUACGGGCAGACUUGAGUUCGGUAGGGGAGACUGGAAUUCCUGGUGUAGCGGUGAAAUGCGCAGAUAUCAGGAGGAACACCGGUGGCGAAGGCGGGUCUCUGGGCCGAUACUGACGCUGGAGGAGCGAAAGCGUGGGGGAGCGAACAGGAUUAGAACCUACCGUAG